rnacentral:rRNA from 1 species
UACGGGGGGAGCAAGCGUUGUUCGGAUUUACUGGGCGUAAAGGGCGCGUAGGCGGUUUGAAGGGUGUGAUGUGAAAGCCUUGGGCUUAACCUGAGAAGUGCAUCGCAAACUAGCAAACUGGAGUAUAUGAGAGGGUGGCGGAAUUUCCGGUGUAGCGGUGAAAUGCGUAGAGAUCGGAAGGAACGUCAAUGGCGAAGGCAGCCCCCUGGCAUAAUACUGACGCUGAGGCGCGAGAGCGUGGGGAGCGAACAGG